CGGGGAGUAGCUCAGGUGGUAGAGCAUCCGGUUUGGGGCCGGAGGGUCGCAGGUUCGAGGCCUGUCUCCCCGACCA
rnacentral:tRNA from 1 species